rnacentral:miRNA from 1 species
UCGUACCGUGAGUAAUAACGUG